GUGGGGAAUCUUCCGCAAUGGACGAAAGUCUGACGGAGCAACGCCGCGUGAGUGAUGAAGGUCUUCGGAUUGUAAAGCUCUGUUAAUCGGGACGAAAGAGCCUAGUGUGAAUAAUGCUAGGAAGUGACGGUACCGGAAUAGAAAGCCACGGCUAACUACGUGCCAGCAGCCGCGGUAAUACGUAGGUGGCAAGCGUUGUCCGGAAUUAUUGGGCGUAAAGCGCGCGCAGGCUGAUCUGCCAGUCUGUCUUAAAAGUUCGGGGCUUAACCCCGUGAUGGGAUGGAAACUACAGAUCUAGAGUAUCGGAGAGGAAAGUGGAAUUCCUAGUGUAGCGGUGAAAUGCGUAGAUAUUAGGAAGAACACCAGUGGCGAAGGCGACUUUCUGGACGAAAACUGACGCUGAGGCGCGAAAGCCAGGGGAGCGAACGGGAUUAGAAACCCGGGUAGUCC
rnacentral:rRNA from 1 species